CGGUAGUUGCUCGAGUGGCUGAAGAGGUUUGUCUCGAAAACAAAUAACGCAAAAAAUGCGUUCAAGGGUUCAAAUCCCUUACUACCGGCCA
rnacentral:tRNA from 1 species